AGAACGAACGCUGGCGGCAGGCUUAACACAUGCAAGUCGAACGCGUGUAGCAAUACACGAGUGGCGCACGGGUGAGUAACGCGUGGAUAUCUGCCUUUUGGUUCGGAAUAACCCCGGGAAACUGGGGCUAAUACCGGAUGGUUCCUACGGGAUAAAGAUUUAUCGCCAAAAGAUGAGUCCGCGUCCGAUUAGCUAGUUGGUGGGGUAAUGGCCUACCAAGGCGACGAUCGGUAGCUGGUCUGAGAGGACGAUCAGCCACACUGGGACUGAGACACGGCCCAGACUCCUACGGGAGGCAGCAGUGGGGAAUAUUGGACAAUGGGGGCAACCCUGAUCCAGCCAUGCCGCGUGAGUGAUGAAGGCCUUCGGGUUGUAAAGCUCUUUUGGCGGGGACGAUGAUGACGGUACCCGCAGAAUAAGCCCCGGCUAACUUCGCGCCAGCAGCCGC
rnacentral:rRNA from 1 species